CCAUGCUGCACCCUGAUCUUGGCCUUGCAGUCUCCAGAACUGUGUGAAAUAACUGUCUGUUGUCUCAGCCACCCAGUCUAUAAUAAUUUGUUAUAGCAGUCUGAGCUGACUGAGACCAUACAUGCCUCCCUAAAGCAGAAGCUCACUUUCUCAGUUUCCCUUGACAUUCAGGACAGGUAGGUGAGUUGGGCCUCACGAAUCAGAUGCACUCACAUAAAACCUUGAUUUGGAAGAGAAAAAUAAUUGGAUGAGGCACGCACAUUGACAAAUCCACUUUCUGGUAUCGAUUACAGCAGAGGUUACUUUCAGAGAGGGCAGUAGGGUAGAGGUUCCGGGGUCCAGCCUCCCAGUCGGCACUGGGAGCUGAGAUGUCUGUGCUCACUGGAAAUGGCAAUGGGCGGUCCUCACUGCAGGUGACCAGCCAGGGGAUUUGAACAUUCAUCCUGGAUAUGGUAUUCUUUGAGGAGUCUGGGCGGGGGGUCCUUAAUGUCUUUAAACUGGUAUUGAGGGAACCUCUGCCUGUUGCCCGUCACUUAAGGCUCACCAGGAAGCUGACGUAUUUGAAACUUGCAGCUUCUUCACAGCCGACAAAAAUAAAAGGGAGAUACAUUUUUUAAAAUUCUCCUCUUUUCCCUAGAAAACAGAGAUGAGAGAAAACCCUUGUGUUAUGGCCAUUAACCAUUUCCUUUGUUCAUUCAAAUAGGAAUCUAGCUUUUUUUCUUUUUUCUUUUUUGCACCAGACGCUAUGCUAAGUGCCAGACCACUGUGAACUGCAGAGGAAAAACCAGGAUGUCAGAACUCUUCCACCGGUGGGGAUAUUAGAGGCCACAAAGCCUCCAUCACUCAAAGCAAUUGCAUCCAAAAAAAUAAUUUUCUGCGGACCACAUGGAGUUUUGAACCAAUUAAGACACAGGAGCGAGACAGAUGGCGAUGAAAAUAUCAUGCUAAAAGGCUGCAUUGACCCAUGUACCUGAGGUGGGUAGCCACAUGGGUUUCCUCCUACUUUCCCCCCUGAAUGAGGUAGACUCAUUCUGCCAGUCAUAUGUACCACUGACCAGCAUAGGUUUCUGAAAGGAAUGGCUGAGAGGAGCAUGCCCCAUUCAGCGAGGAGGCAAAGAGAGGCUACAGAUGGCUCUCAAAAUCUCUCCCGGAGAGUGGAAUGGAAAUUCUUGGCCUCUGUGGAAACAUGAGGGGUAAGCUAUACAUAUAUCCUUGUAUGACUAGUAAGUUAUGCCUAAAUUAAAUUUGGUUUGGAAGUGUGUAACAAAAGCAGUGAUUCUGGAUGGGUAUAUUAACAACAUCAUCAACAACAACAUCAACAUUAAUAACAUCAACAACAUUAUCACAUCAACAAUAGCAGCACAGCAGUAGUACCAACAGCAGCAACAAUAAUAAUAGAAUAACAUCUCAGCAACAAGAAUAAAAAUAGCAACAAUAGUACUGUCAACCACAUCAGCAAGAACAUUAACAGUAAAAUGCCAACAGCAUCAUCACAACACCCACAGUAGCAAUGUUGACAGCAUCAUCACAACACCCAUAGUAAUGUCAAUGGCAUCAUAACAACACCCACAGUAACAAUGCCAACAGCAUCACAACAUCUACAGAAACAUCAUCACUAGAGCAUCACCAGAGCAUCAUCACUACUUGCACAGUAACAACAUCAAUAGCAACAUAACAGUAUCCAGAGAAACAAUAUCAACAGUGUCAUCACAACGCCCACAGUAAGUGUCAACAGCAUCAUCACAACACCCAUAGUAACAACAUUAGCAUUAUCACAACAUCCACAGUAACAGUGUCACCACCACCAUCACAGCAUCCACAGUAAUAGUGUUAACAGCAUGAUCACAACAUCCAUAGUAACAGUGUUAACAACAUCAUCACAACAUCCACAGUAACAGCCUCAACAGCACCAUUACAACAUCCACAGUAAAGCAUCAACAGCAUCAUCACAACAUCCACAGUAACAGUGUCAACAGCACCAUUACAACAUCCAUAGUACAGCAUCAACAACAUCAUCACAACACCCACAGUAACAAUGCCAACAGCAUCAUCACAACGUCUACAGAAACAGUGUCUAGAGCAUCAUCACUACUUCCAUAGUAACAUCAACAGCAACAUAACAGUAUCCAGAGAAACAACAUUAACAGCAUCAUCACAACACCCACAGUAAUAGUGUCAACAGCAUCAUCACAAUACCCAUAGUAACAACAUUAACAUCAUCACAACAUCCACAGUAACA